rnacentral:rRNA from 1 species
CAGUAGCCGCGGUAACACGGAGGGUGCAAGCGUUAAUCGGAAUUACUGGGCGUAAAGCGCACGCAGGCGGUUUGUUAAGUCAGAUGUGAAAUCCCCGAGCUUAACUUGGGAACUGCAUUUGAAACUGGCAAGCUAGAGUCUUGUAGAGGGGGGUAGAAAUCCAGGUGUAGCGGUGAAAUGCGUAGAGAUCUGGAGGAAUACCGGUGGCGAAGGCGGCCCCCUGGACAAAGACUGACGCUCAGGUGCGAAAGCGUGGGGAGCAAACAGGAUUAGAUACCCGAGUAGUCCCUGUCUCUUAUAC